rnacentral:rRNA from 1 species
CGUGAGUAACCUGCCCCUGACUCUGGGAUAAGCGUUGGAAACGACGUCUAAUACUGGAUAUGAUCACUGGCCGCAUGGUCUGGUGGUGGAAAGAUUUUUUGGUUGGGGAUGGACUCGCGGCCUAUCAGCUUGUUGGUGAGGUAAUGGCUCACCAAGGCGACGACGGGUAGCCGGCCUGAGAGGGUGACCGGCCACACUGGGACUGAGACACGGCCCAGACUCCUACGGGAGGCAGCAGUGGGGAAUAUUGCACAAUGGGCGAAAGCCUGAUGCAGCAACGCCGCGUGAGGGAUGACGGCCUUCGGGUUGUAAACCUCUUUUAGUAGGGAAGAAGCGAAAGUGACGGUACCUGCAGAAAAAGCACCGGCUAACUACGUGCCAGCAGCCGCGGUAAUACGUAGGGUGCAAGCGUUGUCCGGAAUUAUUGGGCGUAAAGAGCUCGUAGGCGGUUUGUCGCGUCUGCUGUGAAAUCCCGAGGCUCAACCUCGGGCUUGCAGUGGGUACGGGCAGACUAGAGUGCGGUAGGGGAGAUUGGAAUUCCUGGUGUAGCGGUGGAAUGCGCAGAUAUCAGGAGGAACACCGAUGGCGAAGGCAGAUCUCUGGGCCGUAACUGACGCUGAGGAGCGAAAGCAUGGGGAGCGAACAGGAUUAGAUACCCUGGUAGUCCAUGCCGUAAACGUUGGGCGCUAGAUGUAGGGACCUUUCCACGGUUUCUGUGUCGUAGCUAACGCAUUAAGCGCCCCGCCUGGGGAGUACGGCCGCAAGGCUAAAACUCAAAGGAAUUGACGGGGGCCCGCACAAGCGGCGGAGCAUGCGGAUUAAUUCGAUGCAACGCGAAGAACCUUACCAAGGCUUGACAUACACCGGAAACGGCCAGAGAUGGUCGCCCCCUUGUGGUCGGUGUACAGGUGGUGCAUGGUUGUCGUCAGCUCGUGUCGUGAGAUGUUGGGUUAAGUCCCGCAACGAGCGCAACCCUCGUUCUAUGUUGCCAGCGGGUUAUGCCGGGGACUCAUAGGAGACUGCCGGGGUCAACUCGGAGGAAGGUGGGGAUGACGUCAAAUCAUCAUGCCCCUUAUGUCUUGGGCUUCACGCAUGCUACAAUGGCCGGUACAAAGGGCUGCGAUACCGUAAGGUGGAGCGAAUCCCAAAAAGCCGGUCUCAGUUCGGAUUGAGGUCUGCAACUCGACCUCAUGAAGUCGGAGUCGCUAGUAAUCGCAGAUCAGCAACGCUGCGGUGAAUACGUUCCCGGGCCUUGUACACACCGCCCGUCAAGUCAUGAAAGUCGGUAACACCCGAAGCCGGUGGCCUAACCCU